rnacentral:rRNA from 1 species
UACGAAGGGGGCUAGCGUUGCUCGGAAUCACUGGGCGUAAAGCGCACGUAGGCGGAUUGUUAAGUCAGGGGUGAAAUCCUGGAGCUCAACUCCAGAACUGCCUUUGAUACUGGCGAUCUCGAGUCCGGGGAGAGGUGAGUGGAACUGCGAGUGUAGAGGUGAAAUUCGUAGAUAUUCGCAAGAACACCAGUGGCGAAGGCGGCUCACUGGCCCGGUACUGACGCUGAGGUGCGAAAGCGUGGGAGCAACGGG